rnacentral:rRNA from 1 species
GAUGAACGCUGGCGGCGUGCUUAACACAUGCAAGUCGAACGAAGCACUUUAUUUGAUUUCCUUCGGGACUGAUUAUUUUGUGACUGAGUGGCGGACGGGUGAGUAACGCGUGGGUAACCUGCCUUGUACAGGGGGAUAACAGUUGGAAACGGCUGCUAAUACCGCAUAAGCGCACAGCAUCGCAUGAUGCAGUGUGAAAAACUCCGGUGGUAUAAGAUGGACCCGCGUUGGAUUAGCUAGUUGGUGAGGUAACGGCCCACCAAGGCGACGAUCCAUAGCCGACCUGAGAGGGUGACCCGCCACAUUGGGACUGAGACACGGCCCAAACUCCUACGGGAGGCAGCAGUGGGGAAUAUUGCACAAUGGGCGAAAGCCUGAUGCAGCGACGCCGCGUGAGCGAAGAAGUAUUUCGGUAUGUAAAGCUCUAUCAGCAGGGAAGAUAAUGACGGUACCUGACUAAGAAGCACCGGCUAAAUACGU